rnacentral:rRNA from 1 species
UACGUAGGUGGCAAGCGUUGUCCGGAUUUAUUGGGUUUAAAGGGUGCGUAGGCGGCUUUGUAAGUCAGUGGUGAAAUAUGGCAGCUCAACUGUCAGGGUGCCAUUGAUACUGCGGAGCUUGAGUACAGAUGAGGUAGGCGGAAUUGACGGUGUAGCGGUGAAAUGCUUAGAUAUCGUCAAGAACACCGAUAGCGAAGGCAGCUUACUGGGCUGUAAACUGACGCUGAGGCACGAAAGUGUGGGGAUCAAACAGG